GGUGUGGCUGCCACCUUCCAAUCACUAGAUUUUCUUUUAUGGGAUAAAAAAACAGUAAAUUACUCCAUAGAGUACAUGGUAAUGAUUAACGCGUGUUAAGGGUGUAGUUGUUGGGGUCUCCAUUGACAAAGCCACCAUGGUGGUGAUGAACCUUGGUGGUGAAAGUGUUGCAAGAUGAUAAUGACAACACACAGUAGCCAAGUGACAUGGAGGAUGGAGAGGGAUGGAAAGUUGAUGAUGGCUUUAGAAAAAAGGCAGAGCUUUAUUUGUGGCAGUGUAUAGUAGUGCUCGUCAAGUGUUUCAUGGCUCUGCUUCUUCUUCAUGCUUGCAUUGAUGUUCAACAUUUGUCCUCUAAUUUUUCAGUUUGGGUGUUAGAUUGGAAGGCAGCAACACACCGGCUUUUUGGAUAUAGUCGCCUUGAUACUCUCGAUUCAGUUCAUAUGGCUGAUUUCUAUAGUUUUAAUCUAUGAGCAAUUUAUAUGCAGUAAGUGCAAAGUGUUCUUCAACCAAUACUACCAGUAGGCUUUUUUAGCAUGAAAACUGUGAAAAAAAUAGAUAUCAGUUUUGGAUUGUGCAUUAAGUGUAGGCUUAAGCUGAAGCAGACCAUGGAAAUGUACAGCUUGCAAAGAAUCACUUUCUGCAAAAACGAAAGUAGUUCCAUUUCAUCAUCAACUGCACGAAAAGUUUGAAAGAAGUUCGCUGUCAUUGAACUCAAUCCUGCAUUUGAACGUACGGCUCAGGAAGGAACUUAACUGAAGAUAUCAACGUCUCCAAAGAUUACCCCUGCGAAGUGCGGGCAUGAAAUCUAAGUGUAUAUAUAUAUAUUUAUAUAAAGGUUCAUAAAAUUUUCUUCACGUACGGCUCAUGAACUUUUUUUCAUUCCAACCCGCUGGGGCUAAAAGCCUAUCAUGGACCCACAUUGUUAUUGUGUGUGUGUGUAUAUAUAUAUAAAAAAAACACGAUGUUCAAGAA